UUUGAUACUUGAUUUCAAAUAACCAGAAUACAGUCAAUUGUCAUACUAACAGACCCAAUUCAUAUAACUAGUCUUUUUCCAUGUUCGAAUCCACUUCUAUUAGUUCAAUUGCUUUGGUAUACUAAAUCUUGAAUACAACAAGAGCAACAAGAGGUCUAUCAAAAAAAUAUCAAAAAAAUGAGUCUAUGUACUUAAAAUCACUAAAAUAAUUUUGUAUUAGCAAAAUCUCAGAAUGCCCUCUUGUGAAUAAAUGAAUGUUUCUUUACUCCAAAUACUCCCAAAUCAACUUUUGAAGAUUCUAACAAGUAUGUGAACUCCAAUCAACCUCACCAUCUAGUUCUUCUACUCAUAAAAUUCACUUUCUCACCACAAAAUCAAAGACACUAUCAAGGUCUUUGCAUAAGGUCUUAAUCACUCAAUCCUAGGAAUUAAGAACCUUUAAACUGAUGUAAGAGAUCUAUAAGGCCCAAAUCAGAACCUCCACAAGUCAAAACACAAGAUUAGAUCAUACAAUCUCUAACAUCAGCAAACACCAUAAGUUCUAUUCCACACAAAAAUAACAACUAGCAAAUGACUUCAACUUACUUGAAUAAUAUAACAAAGUGUGUAUGGGCCCAUAACCUAUUGAAGAAACAUAAUAAGCAAGACACAAGUAAGUAGAAGUCAGGAAGGUUAGACACAAGAGAAGUAUGGAAUGAGAUACCUCUCCCUUCCAAAACUCUU
rnacentral:lncRNA from 1 species